rnacentral:rRNA from 1 species
ACGGCCUAAUACCGUAUGACAUCGUUUGCUGACAUCAAAAUAACGAUUAAAAGGGUUUAGCGGUUAUGGAUGGGGAUGCGUCUGAUUAGCUUGUUGGCGGGGUAACGGCCCACCAAGGCGACGAUCAGUAGGGGUUCCUGAGAGGAAGGUCCCCCACAUUGGAACUGAGACACGGUCCAAACUCCUACGGGAGGCAGCAGUGAGGAAUAUUGGUCAAUGGGCGAGAGCCUGAACCAGCCAAGUAGCGUGCAGGAUGACGGCCCUAUGGGUUGUAAACUGCUUUUAUGUGGGGAUAAAGUGCGUGACGUGUCGUGCAUUGCAGGUACCACAUGAAUAAGGACCGGCUAAUUCCGUGCCAGCAGCCGCGGUAAAU